GAUGAACGCUGGCGGCGUGCCUAAUACAUGCAUGUCGAGCGAACAGACGAGGAGCUUGCUCCUUCGACGUUAGCGGCGGACGGGUGAGUAACACGUAGGUAACCUACCUAUAAGACUGGGAUAACUUCGGGAAACCGGAGCUAAUACCGGAUAAUAUUUCGAACCGCAUGGUUCGAUAGUGAAAGAUGGCUUUGCUAUCACUUAUAGAUGGACCUGCGCCGUAUUAGCUAGUUGGUAAGGUAACGGCUUACCAAGGCAACGAUACGUAGCCGACCUGAGAGGGUGAUCGGCCACACUGGAACUGAGACACGGUCCAGACUCCUACGGGAGGCAGCAGUAGGGAAUCUUCCGCAAUGGGCGAAAGCCUGACGGAGCAACGCCGCGUGAGUGAUGAAGGUCUUCGGAUCGUAAAACUCUGUUAUUAGGGAAGAACAAACGUGUAAGUAACUGUGCACGUCUUGACGGUACCUAAUCAGAAAGCCACGGCUAACUACGUG
rnacentral:rRNA from 1 species